rnacentral:rRNA from 2 species
GAAGGCUAUGUUGGCCGGGCGACGGUUGUCCCGGUUUAAGCGUGUAGGCUGGUUUUCCAGGCAAAUCCGGAAAAUCAAGGCUGAGGCGUGAUGACGAGGCACUACGGUGCUGAAGCAACAAAUGCCCUGCUUCCAGGAAAAGCCUCUAAGCAUCAGGUAACAUCAAAUCGUACCCCAAACCGACACAGGUGGUCAGGUAGAGAAUACCAAGGCGCUUGAGAGAACUCGGGUGAAGGAACUAGGCAAAAUGGUGCCGUAACUUCGGGAGAAGGCACGCUGAUAUGUAGGUGAAGUCCCUUGCGGAUGGAGCUGAAAUCAGUCGAAGAUACCAGCUGGCUGCAACUGUUUAUUAAAAACACAGCACUGUGCAAACACGAAAGUGGACGUAUACGGUGUGACGCCUGCCCGGUGCCGGAAGGUUAAUUGAUGGGGUCAGCGCAAGCGAAGCUCUUGAUCGAAGCCCCGGUAAACGGCGGCCGUAACUAUAACGGUCCUAAGGUAGCGAAAUUCCUUGUCGGGUAAGUUCCGACCUGCACGAAUGGCGUAAUGAUGGCCAGGCUGUCUCCACCCGAGACUCAGUGAAAUUGAACUCGCUGUGAAGAUGCAGUGUACCCGCGGCAAGACGGAAAGACCCCGUGAACCUUUACUAUAGCUUGACACUGAACAUUGAGCCUUGAUGUGUAGGAUAGGUGGGAGGCUUUGAAGUGUGGACGCCAGUCUGCAUGGAGCCGGCCUUGAAAUACCACCCUUUAAUGUUUGAUGUUCUAACGUGGACCCGUGAUCCGGGUUGCGGACAGUGUCUGGUGGGUAGUUUGACUGGGGCGGUCUCCUCCUAAAGAGUAACGGAGGAGCACGAAGGUUGGCUAAUCCUGGUCGGACAUCAGGAGGUUAGUGCAAUGGCAUAAGCCAGCUUGACUGCGAGCGUGACGGCGCGAGCAGGUGCGAAAGCAGGUCAUAGUGAUCCGGUGGUUCUGAAUGGAAGGGCCAUCGCUCAACGGAUAAAAGGUACUCCGGGGAUAACAGGCUGAUACCGCCCAAGAGUUCAUAUCGACGGCGGUGUUUGGCACCUCGAUGUCGGCUCAUCACAUCCUGGGGCUGAAGUAGGUCCCAAGGGUAUGGCUGUUCGCCAUUUAAAGUGGUACGCGAGCUGGGUUUAGAACGUCGUGAGACAGUUCGGUCCCUAUCUGCCGUGGGCGCUGGAGAACUGAGGGGGGCUGCUCCUAGUACGAGAGGACCGGAGUGGACGCAUCACUGGUGUUCGGGUUGUCAUGCCAAUGGCACUGCCCGGUAGCUAAAUGCGGAAGAGAUAAGUGCUGAAAGCAUCUAAGCACGAAACUUGCCCCGAGAUGAGUUCUCCCUGACCCUUUAAGGGUCCUGAAGGAACGUUGAAGACGACGACGUUGAUAGGCCGGGUGUGUAAGCGCAGCGAUGCGUUGAGCUAACCGGUACUAAUGAACCGUGAGGCUUAACCUU